GCAGCAGUAAAACGGAAUAUGGAUAACUCAUUUGCUAUUUUUAGGGAAAAACCACUAGAGUAUUUCACUCCAGCGGCUUUAAGUUACAGUCAUUUUCAAGAGAAGAGCUGUGAGAUUUCUGCUGCUGUUGAAACAGUUAGAAAGAGAAGCUUAGCAAACACGGUGUGCCCUGGGAUACCGGCUUUGUAGGGGUGCUGAUGAGAAACUUCGAGCAUUUUCCUACGGAAUUACAUUUUUCUCUCCCUGUGCUCCGGACAGAGCAGAGACCUCUGGCUGACCAACAGGGGUUUCAACACAAAAUGUGCUAUGACGAGCCAUGCUAGAUCUGCUUUUUUAUUUAAGUCACAAAUGCCUCCAAGGCUGGUGUAUUUCUGGGUAGAUGACUGACCAUGUGCCUUAUAAGCAAAGCCAGCAGAAAUCAGAACUCCUCUCAUCUCCGCCUGGAGCAAAGAUCUUCACGCAGUUGACCGCGCUCCUUCUCGCUGAGCCAGGCUCCUGCCUGGUAUAAUUCAACGUUUUUCCAUUGGUUUAAUCCACGAUUCCAAAAUACAUUGACCAGGGAGACUAGAAGCUCUCCGCUGCCAACCUCCCCCAGGAGCACUGCCUGGCACUGGAUGUGUUUAUGCUCUGGUGCUGGGGAAGUGGCCCCAUAGUCCCCACAGCCCCAUGAUGGCUUUGUGUGGUGCCCUGGUGGACUCUGCACUUUAACACCAGGCAAGACACUGGCCUACAGUAGUAAUUCAUGUAUUUUGUCAAUGGCACAUUAUAACAAAAAGUCAUCAGUUUCAGCUUAAUGUGCCAUCCUCCUAUUUCUAAGUAAAAGAGAGAUCAUAAAGUCCUCAGGGAGAAAGGUUGUGAGUAAUAGCAGUGGCACAGGGCCUGCAGCCUAGCCAGCAUGCCAAACAAUAUUCCAAGAAAAUAUUUCUAAGUUACAGAAGUUGUGUAACAGUGAUUAUUAUUUUUAAAGCACAGAGUAUGAAGACCAGUUUCUAAAAAAGCAAACACAUAUUUUUAGCCUUGCUGGUCUCUUGAUCCUACACUAAUGGGAACCAUCUGCGCUGGGACUGGCUGACGUUCCUGGUAAAUAACAUUUUGCUGCAACAUUCCAGAUGUUUCAAAGGCUUCUUUGCAAAGAAGUGUUUGUCUCUCUGCCUGUCACUCUCACUUUCUGUCUUUCCUGCCCAUGUUUACUUCAGUAAUAUAUAUUCUUUUAUUAAAACAGCUUUUGUUAAAAAUAGCUUGUCAGAAUUUUGGCAAAUCUUCAUUAUGAUCCCUGCUUGCUAGCUGAGUUUGAAAGCUUUAGUUCCGUAGUGUUAAAGUCUAAAUUGAAGACUCGAGAAGGAACCUGGAAGAUUUAGACAAGAAAACACAGUAAAAAUAUUUGGAGAUAGAUUUCUACCUCAUUGUGAUCCCCCUGAGGAUUCCAGCUAUUGAAUACAGAUACAUUUAUUCUGGAAUUGAGAGUUUUUAAUGUGACAAACUGUUAUGGAAUACACAGAUGUACUUUAUAGCAACCAGACACUUCCCUACAAAACCUUUGCAACUCAUUAUGUAAAAGAAUCCUGUGGUUUGCUUUGCUUCCUCUGCUGUGCUAUAUUCUGGAGGUGACUGCCUUUCCUACGUGAAUGAAAACAUCCCUACACACAAGGGUCACUUUUUUAUCCCAGCUGAGCUAAGCUUAGCCAGAAGGGUAGAAAGAAAAUAAGGGGAUUUUAAACCAUCCUUUAGCCUGGCCGUUACCUCUGCCUAGAGUCUGCCCCAAACCCGGUGUGUUACAGCUUCAUUAACGCUGUAGCUUAGGCUCAGGCACAAUUAGAUAAGAAGAGAUGUGUUUCCAGUGUCAAACCUCCUACUCAGGUCUCUAACAGAGCGUCUGCAUCACCAGCUGAUGGUACGAUCCUCGGCAGCAAUGAAGCCUUAGUCAAGUACUCUCCAGUGGGCAAAUCAUUUAUUUUAAAAAACUUUGUCACAGCCGAAGUGUAAAAGCUCUAGAGGGUGAAGAAAAAUCUGUCUUUUGGUUUCUGAAGCACCCGGUGCUGUAAGCUCAGCAGUGGCAGGGACAUGGCUAUUGCAAUUGAAGCAAACUUUUCGCUUCUCCCAGGGACAGGGACACGCGGCAGAUCUGAGCGAUUGCAGUGCUGCUAGGAAGCUGCCUCUUUGUUCUUUUGUUAUCCGUUAUCACAUUUGUUUCAUAACAAAGGCUUCCUGAGCUUGGGGGUUUUGUGUGUGUUAAUACUGGUAAUAUGAUUUAAAUAUUCUGAUGAUUCAUUUUCAGUCCAGUGAGCUGAAUCAGCCGUGUAGAACAUAACUUUCUUCUCCCAAACCGCUACCUUUUCCAUCCUUUCUCGUCAUUUCUAUAAGAGGAUGAUUCAUGCUCCUCUUGUAUUUACCAUCUGAGAAUGUGCAUGAUUCCUUUAGCUAAUUUCCCUUCUUGUUCCUCUUUUUGUUUUAAAAAAUAUGAGUGUGAAGGCAAGCAAAGCGAUUGCUGAUUGAUGUGAUCUGUCCCACUGGAGGUCCUGGCAUGUGAACUAAAAACCUGAACUGAACAGAGACAAAACAGAAAGGAAAAAUACUUUGAAUUACUGCAUUUACCAGAGCCCAUACUGUGAAAUUUAGCCUUUGGCCCACAUUUCACAUGUUUUCAAAAUUCUGCGUGUUCAAGCGAGAUGUUGUGUUCAAAUGUGACUCCAGUGUAGUGAUCUUAUUGUCGUUUGUUUAGAAGAAGCCCCUUUCUUUAUUUAGUUAUCCUACUCUAAUUUGUUUUCUCUGAAGCCUGAUCGUAGCUGUGAGUGGCUCAAUAAAACCCGGCGGGGGGCUGAUUAUUGAUUUAUCUGGUUCCAUGAGGGAGCCGCCUGUUCUCAGUAGGGGUGUAUAAGAACACAAGGAAAUCUUUACGGUGGGGCUCUGGAAAACACCUGGGCUGUCAUUCCCCCCUCUCUGCCUAAGACACCGCAAUAACGAUCCUAAAACCUGGGGGCGUUUUCCUCCCACCUCUCGCAACUCGGACCCAAGGCAGGCGCUACCAGUGGCAGGGGGCAGAUGCUGAGGCACUCGGGAUGCCUCGUCCCUGCCACAUGUCCCCAGGGACAAGGAUGCUUUUAUCCACCUGCUUGUGUAGUCCAGGGGCUGCCAAACUGGCAGAAAAGCCUCCCUUGACCCUCAACCCCUCUCAUUUCAGGGCUCCCCUCACCCCACUGCGUUUACAGGCUUCCUUCUCGCUUAAUGAGGAAGGGAGGUUUUUUUUUUUACACUGCAGCAGUUGUAAAAAAAUACUCUCUAAGAAGCGUCUUAGUGUGAGAGUCCCUUUGGCUGGGCCUCUCUCUGAACAGAGCUGAGCGCUUUGCGCGGCGGCCGAGGUGAAAUCACAGCUUGUGACGGGCUCCAAGAGCCACAGUGUGGCUGCCCCCCCCCCCCGCAGAAACGCCCCAUGUUUGGGCAAAUUCAUUUCAGCCAGCUCUGCCGUAUGACUUCACUUCUUAUUCAUCCCUGUCAAGAAACAGUUUGUCCAACGCUUCGGAGAAAGCCAGCGCGAAUAUUUCCUAAACUCACCUGAGGGGAGGAGGUUUCACAGCAAGGCAAUGCCUCAGGUUUGGGGUUUUGAUAAAACAAAACAGUUUUUUGUGUUUUAUUAAGUCAAAUGGGGCAUGAGCAACGCGGACAGGUCCUGGGUGGCUGUGACAAGGCGUUUCAUGGACAAAGAAAUGGGUCAUUAUAUGCCUCUCCUGAAUUUCACAGUGUGUCCCACUUGAGGUGACUGACGCUCAGAGGACACUGCACCGUGACUCACUCCGUCCCAUAUGUUCUCAUAUACUUCUGAAAACAACACAGUGGGCCAAAGUUUGGCUUUUUCCACAGCCUAAAGGUUUUCGUAUUCAAAACAGGCAAGUUAUUCUCUCCUAUGACUAACACUGUGUUUUCACUAACCGCUGUUACACACAAACAUCACCUCACUCUAUCACAUGAGAGAAUCAUGUCAUAUUGCAAAUAUUUUAACAAACUGCAUAGCAGAAAAUGAAUAAGCAGUUCUGUAUUUACUGAUAGGGGGAUAUUUUUUAACAGUUAUGAAUUAAAUACAAAGACUGGCUAUGAAUUAAAUACAAAGACUGGCUAUAAACACCUUGGAAACUAUACUAAAAAAGCACAGAAAAAAUAGAUGAACACUGAGACGCAGAUGGAGCAUGUGUAAUGUAACACACACUGGCAUUUCUUUGUGCUUUUAUUGCUUUAAAUGCUUCUCUAUUUUUUUAUGUCUACCCUUAUGAAGUGUACUCUUGGGUCUCCACUCUCCAGAGUCCAAGAACACGGGAGCUGUGAUUUUUGAUAGCAGAAACCUUACCCCAUACAGUUUUAUAUUCCUGCUUGUUGUUUUUUCAGUGCCAUUGGGCAGUGAGGCAAAUGUCGGGCUGAUGGAGAGGAAACUGGUGUGGGUAAGUCCUGGGAGCACGCCACGAGAGCCCGACGUCUGCAUUCCUGCCCCUAUCAUGGGACAGCAGAGGCAGGCAGGAGCACCUUCCGCAGCUGUUAGCCCUGACAGUCCUCCAGCCUUCCACGCUGCCUCUAUCCACCCAUGGUUAUUCCUGUGUUGGAGCAGUCGGGUAUGCACGGGGCUCUGGGCACAAAGCUUGUUCCCAGACAGGGUCUUUGUGCUGGGGAAGUCCCACAGUAGCAGGUUGUGCUGGCUUUGCAGACCCUUGCACCAGCAAGCUGCUGGGAAGAUGCAGCUGUGGUGAUGGAGAACAGGUUUGGGCUCCCUCCAGGACAGGUAAGGAGAUGCCAGACUCUGGCUGUAUCCCUGCCUUAAUGGGCACAACCCAAAAUAACCCUGACCAGCCCCUCCACCUCCCUGAUGGUUACUGUGUGCCGUGUGCAUUUAUGAUGCCUUCAUCUCGCUGUAAAGAUAACACAGAUAAGGAGAACAGAAGAACAACCUGCAAAUUGCAGUGCCUCAGCAGCUCUUAUCUCAAUCUUUAUGAGAGCUGAUGGUUCUGGGAAUUGGAAGCUCAUACAUAGUCACUGCGCCCACAAAACACUGACAUCACAUGACUGGCAAUAAACCGUGGCUCACAUUUCUGGAGAGCAGAGCACGCCUCUCCCUGCCUCUCGAUGCAAGGUACGUCAUUUGUUUUCUAUUCAAAUUCGCCCUCCUCCCACAGAAGCCUUGCCUCGCCAUCCUAGCCAUUAGACAAUGUUAUUGAGAAAACACUCGCUCGGGCGGUAGGAAGAAUAAUUUCCCAUAAGUGUAUUUUGCUAUAGAUUUAAUACCUUUCAUCUCGAAAUAUGAGAACCUUAUGAAUACAGUGAUUUUAUUGAAUAAAUACCCUCAUGCCUGGUGCAUGUCAUGAUUCAUAGCAGAUUAAUAGAAGCAAUUAAAUAUAAGAUUAAAUUGCUUAAACCAUUUGCCCUACUAAGCUGAUCCUGGUGCUGAGAACUGUAUCAGUGCCACUAAUUCCCAGAGAUUUUCCUUCGGAGGCAGUUAUUUAAUGAUUUUGAAUAUCAAAUCCAUGGUAUCCCAGACUGGCUGCCUAAUGCCUGUAAUCAUGUUAAAACGCAGCACUAAGCAACUUGCCCAAGGCACUUCAGUGAGUCACUGGAAGAGAAAGCAGAGCUCCUGCCUCGCGUUAGCUGCUCGAGCAGACGCAGAGACACUUGCAGAAUGACGAUGGGGGACAAUCCCUGCGGCAGACUUCCCAAAUGCCUUGGGUUUCAGGCCAUGAGGUGCCAUAUGCUGGGCCCUGGGACAGCCACACACACACAGGUAUUAGGUUAUAUGAUGCCAGGCUCGCUGUCUGGGCACCUCGGCUCGUGCAACUAAGGGCAGCUGCAGAGCUGAUGGCAAGCCCCAGCUGCAGCGCAGGGCUGCCUUGGUGGGCUGUCGUGUUUUGGAGCCAGCAGCCCCCAGCCCUGCAUUACAAAUACAGCAGGGAAAGGCCUGAGUGGGGAGUGGGGAGCCCCAGAAGGAGCGUUAGGGAUGCAGCAUAGGCAGACAGGCACCCAUCACCCGAGUGUGGGCUCUCGCCCCUCUGCUGCCCAGAGCCUGCGAGCAGGAGGCAGCCACUGGUUGGGGACGGGCAGGAAAACAGAGUGGACAAAAUUUUUUUUCCAUUCCUCAGUUGGACAUGUAUACCCAAGACAUGCCCUCAGUGAAAAUACCCAGGCUGCUCCCCAACCACUUUGCACUCAGCAAGGACCAGUUGUGCCUCCAAUGUGGCACACAGAAGUAAGGCCAUGCACAGCAGGUUUGCAGGCUGUCUCCAGCAGUGGGGCCCAGCCCCGAUCCGGCUUUCGUGUUGUCUGGGCUGGCCCUUCUGCCUCCUCGGUCCCCCUCCUCAUCGCCUCUCGCAUGCAGGAUCUGAGGCACCCUGAGCUCAACAAACCCUGGCAAAGGGGCUCAAUCGCAGGAUUUAAAGGCAUUAAAAAUGCUGUUUUCAUUGCAAUAUGACUCAUCGGUAAUUCUAUAUUGUUCAUACGCUGUUUGUUGUAACCUUUCGUCACUGAAUCCUUUCUGUGUCUCAUCGUUCUUUUUUUUCUGUUCUUUCUUUUGCUGACUCUCCCCCUAUCUUUCCUUUUUCCUUCUGUUUCUUAUGACUUUGUGCCUCUACAAAGUCCAAAUAUUUACAAAAGGAAACGCUGGGUUGUGAAACUGAAUUCGGAGAAAAUGUUACACAUGCAGAAGAAAUGCAUCCAGCACGGUUUCCAAAUUUUCCCACAUGAAUUUUUGUUCUCUGUCUCAAGUGCUGAGGCUCGGUGCUCCGUAUCUUUAUUCAGGCAAAACUUGCACCGAGAGCAGUGAGACGCAGGCUGGGGUCAGGUCCAACGGUGCUGUCAUCCUGGGUUGGCUGGAACGGUUCAGGGCUGAUUUUGGCCAUGGGUGACUGGUUAAAAGGCCCGAGCAGCCAGUUUUACCGGUUAACCAGCUUGUGCAAUGGGCCAGUUCCAGGCUAGGGGUUAUCUACGCUUGUCACCAAGUUGCUAACAAAUUGGCACCGGUGUCAGGCCGUGCAGAAGCUGUCCGCAGCCCUCAGUUUAUCCCCUCGCAGAUAAACAUCAGCCAGGCUGCACCAGGAGACCCGCAGCCUCUGAAGGAAGCCUGGCAAGGUCCCCAGCCGGGCUGAGAAGACGACAGCGCGCUCAGCUACGGCAUUAUGAUGAAAUUGUCAGGGAAUUAUUUUCCCAAGAAGUCCCUAAUCCCACGAGCGGAGGAUCACACUCAUGGGCCUUUCAUGUCGUUAUGGACUUGUAAAUAUUUUGGCAGAGGAACAUGGGAACUGCUCAGGCCCAGGGAAUAAAGGAGGGCCGCAGCAACGCUGCAGCGGGUCCCAUCUGCUGAAAGAAAAGCAUCGCCUUGCACCCCCACCCUCGGGGGCAGCACUGCCGUCGUUUCUAUUAUUACCUUUACAAUGUCAUUGUGGCCCAAGUGCAAACACGGAUUUGUUUUGGAGGAAGGGGUUAAUUUUGUCUUUCCUGCCUUUUGUUAAGACAGGAAAUCAAGCCCUUAAGAAAGUCAUUCAGGUCAGGCUGAGCUCCUAAAAGGCACUUCAGUCCUGCUUUGUAUUUUCCUUUCUUUCAUUCUUAUGGCAGGUUUAUUUAAGAAAAGAAAACAAAAAUAGAGUAAAGCAAGGAAAUAGCUAGUCCAGGAUUAUAAGUGAUUAAAUGCACACUGCCACAUGUGAUUAAUUUUUUUCUUCCUGAUUUGCGCUGGGUGUAAACAAGAGCAGAUUCAAAAGUCCCGUAAUUAAAUAAGUCCAUCAGAGAGCGAUUAGCAUCGCUGCGUGCUCUCGCAGAGGCAGAUUCCCCUUGCGCAAAGGCCUCGGCUGAACAUUUUCCCUGUGCUGGCUUAGAGCAGCCGAGGCACCUGGCCCAGGGUGCCCGGCCCACAUUCGAUAUUUGCACCAAGCCAGCUGGCAGCAUGGCUGGCACGGCGGCUGCCACAAGAGCACGAUGCCCACCUGCACAGGGGGCACCCACGGCAAUGUUGUUAAACUUGGGGAAAACUGAGGAUGCCAAACA